rnacentral:rRNA from 1 species
AAAAGAGCAUAAGGUGAAUGCCUUGGCACUGGGAGCCGAAGAAGGACGUGACUAACUGCGAUAAGCUGCGGGGAGUUGUAAAUAAGUAUUGAUCCGCAGAUUUCCGAAUGGGGAAACCCCCGUGAUGAAGAAUCACGGAGCGUAUACUGAAUCCAUAGGUAUGCGCGGGGAACUCGGGGAACUGAAACAUCUAAGUACCCGAAGGAAGAGAAAUCAACCGAGAUUCCGCGAGUAGUGGCGAGCGAAAGCGGAAGAGGCUAAACCGGAGGUAGCAAUAUCUCCGGGGUUCGGACAGAAAUGUGUACGCGGGAGCGUAGCCGAAGGGCGUGGGAAAGCCUGCCGGAGAAUGUGAGAGCCAUGUAGGCGAAACGCAAACGCGACUAUCUGUAUCCAAAGUACCUACGGACACGUGUAAUCCGUAGGGAAGAUGGGGGGCCCAUCCUCCAAGCCUAAAUACUACCCAGUGACCGAUAGCGGAGAAGUACUGUGAAGGAAAGGUGAAAAGAACCCCGGGAGGGGAGUGAAAUAGAACCUGAAACCUUAUGUUUACAAGCACACAAAGCACAUUUAAGUGCGAUGUGGUACCUUUUGUAGAAUGGUCCGGCGAGUUUAUGUGCGUAGCGAGGUUAAGGACUUCAGGUCCGGAGCCGCAGGGAAACCGAGUGUGAACAGCGCCAGAGUUACGCGUAUAAGACCCGAAACCGGGUGACCUAUCCAUGAGCAGGUUGAAGUUGCGGUAAAACGCAAUGGAGGACCGAACCGACCCCCGUUGAAAAGUUGGCGGAUGACUUGUGGAUAGCGGAGAAAUUCCAAUCGAACCCGGAUAUAGCUGGUUCUCCCCGAAAUAGCUUUAGGGCUAGCCUUGAAUAUAUUUGCCGGAGGUAAAGCACUGACUGGACGAGGGGUCGAGAGACUACCAACUCCUAUCAAACUCAGAAUGCCGGACAAAUGAGUUCAGGAGUCAGACUGUGUGAGAUAAGUCUCAUAGUCAAAAGGGAAACAGCCCAGACCUACAGCUAAGGUCCCAAAUAUAUGCUAAGUGGAGAAGGAUGUGACAAUGCUAAGACAACUAGGAUGUUGGCUUAGAAGCAGCCACUCAUUCAAAGAGUGCGUAAUAGCUCACUAGUCGAGUGAUGUUGCGCCGAAGAUUUAACGGGGCUAAGCAUAUAACCGAAGCUUAGGCAGUACGUAAGUACUGGGUAGGGGAGCGUUCUGUGCGGGGUGAAGUCGUACCGGAAGGAGCGGUGGACUGCACAGAAGUGAGAAUGCCGGAAUGAGUAGCGAGAAUUGCGUGAGAAUCGUAAUGGCCGAAUAUCUAAGGUUUCCAGGGGUAGGUUCGUCCGCCCUGGGUGAGCCGGGAGCUAAGGCGAGGCCGAAAGGCGUAGUCGAUGCACAUACGGUGGAAAUUCCGUAGCCGCUAAAACUUUAAGUAUACUGACACAACGUAGGAGCUUGACCCCGGGAUUGGAAGUCCGGGGCGAAAGGGACUGAAAUUAGAGUAGGGAAGCAAGCAAGCACGGUGGCGAGAAAAGGUAUAUGUAUAGUUCAGGCGCCCGUACCGCAAACCGACACAGGUAGAUGAGGAGAGAAUCCUAAGGCCAACGGGAGAAGGGUUGUUAAGGAACUCGGCAUAUUGACCCCGUAACUUCGGAAGAAGGGGUGCCUCCGCAAGGAGGCCGCAGUGAAAAGGCCCAGGCGACUGUUUAUCAAAAACACAGGUCUCUGCAAAACCGAAAGGUGAAGUAUAGGGGCUGACGCCUGCCCGGUGCUGGAAGGUCAAGGGGACUGCUUAGCGCAAGCGAAGGCAUGAACUUAAGCCCCAGUAAACGGCGGCCGUAACUAUAACGGUCCUAAGGUAGCGAAAUUCCUUGUCAGGUAAGUUCUGACCCGCACGAAAGGCGUAACGAUCUGGGCACUGUCUCAACAGCCCGCCCGGCGAAAUUGUAGUACCGGUGAAGAUGCCGGUUACCCGCGACUAGACGGAAAGACCCCAUGGAGCUUUACUGUAGCUUGAUACUGAGAUUCGGUGAAUUAUGCACAGGAUAGGUGGGAGACUAUGAAACAGGUGCUUCGGCGCUUGCGGAGUCGCUGUUGGGAUACCACUCUUGAUUCACUGGAUUUCUAACCUGCGGCCGUGAAUCCGGCCGGGGGACAAUGUCAGGUGGGCAGUUUGACUGGGGCGGUCGCCUCCAAAAGAGUAACGGAGGCGUUCAAAGGUCGGCUCAGCGCGGACGGAAAUCGCGCAUAGAGUGUAAACGCAAAAGCCGGCCUAACUGCGAGACAGACAAGUCGAGCAGUAACGAAAGUUGGAGUUAGUGAUCAGGUGGUAGUGAAUGGAAAUGCCAUCGCUUAACGGAUAAAAGCUACCCUGGGGAUAACAGGCUGAUCUCCCCCAAGAGUUCACAUCGACGGGGAGGUUUGGCACCUCGAUGUCGGCUCAUCACAUCCUGGGGCUUGGAGAAGGUCCCAAGGGUUCGGCUGUCCGCCGAUUAAAGUGGUACGCGAGCUGGGUUCAGAACGUCGUGAGACAGUUCGGUCCCUAUCUGUCGUGGGCGUUGGAUAUUUGAGAGGGGCUGACCUUAGUACGAGAGGACCGGGUCGGACGCACCUCCGGUGCACCAGUUGUUCCGCCAGGGGCAUAGCUGGGUAGCCGCGUGCGGGAGUGAUAAACGCUGAAGGCAUCUAAGCGUGAAACAUGCUUCAAGAUUAGAUAUCCCACAACUUCAAGUUGGUAAGGUCACUUGCAGACUACAAGUUUGAUAGGUCAGAGGUGGAAGCGCAGUAAUGCGUGCAGUUGACUGAUACUAAUAGACCGAGGGCUUGAACC